AGGCAUCUGGGUAAGCUACAAUGCUUAACCACUUAACACAAUCAGGAAGCAACAGCCAUGCAUUCGGGAAAGGAACUUCAGUGUUGUGUGGCUCAGUCUCCAGACCUAACUUUCCCUUUGGUACAGACGCGGUGGUACAUGCCUGUAAUCCCAACACUUAGGCAGGAGGAUCACUCGAGCCCAGAAGAUCAAGACUAGUGUGAGCAACAAAAUCCUUCCCUGGCACCGGUUCCAGGAGGACCUCGUUCUUAGGCAGCAUCUGUGUCUCUGUUUUGUAAGACACACAGAGUAUCCUUAACCCACUGCAGAUAUUUCCCUGGGUCCAUGGUCAAUCAACACCACCUUUCAGUCUCCAGCCUCUUAACCAGCCCAGGGCUGAGUGUUGUUUAUAGUAUUAAUAUGUUUCUGGCUGGGCUCAGUGGCUCAUGCCUGUAAUCCCGGCACUAUGGGAGGCUGAGGCAGGCGGAUCACUUGAGGUCAGGAGUUCAAGACCAGCCUGGCCAACAUAGUAAAACCCCGUCUCUACUAAAAAUACAAAAAUGAGCCGGGUGUGGUGGCGUGUGUCUAUAAUCCCAGCUACUCGGGAGGCUGAGGCAGGAGAAUUGCUUGAACCUGGGAGGUGGAGGCUACAGUGAGCUGAGAUCAUGCCACUGCACUCCAGCCUGGGCAAGAAAGUGAGACUCCAUCUC
rnacentral:lncRNA from 1 species